AGAGGAAGAAGAAGAACAGUAGAG
rnacentral:miRNA from 1 species